UUUUGGACUUGCUUUGCAUGUYGGGCUCCCUGCACUUUUGGUGCGGCCAACCGAACAUAGGGCUGUCUCUUCACUCUCCCUCCCGUCAUUGAACAUGUCGUGGUUGGGAUGCUUUCGAUCGGUUGCCUGUGCGGUUCUACCCACUUGUGGGUAGCGAAGUUGUCCCUUGAUGGAUAUUUGCUUGCCCCUUGACAUUUUUUUGUCGCUUGGGCAGCCGAAAUGUUGGUGAAAUCCUUGUGUUCGCGCGCGGUGGAAUGCUGUGUUGCUCUCACUUGUAUUUUUGCCGGCUCUCUCGGAUGCGGUGCCUAGUGCUAGAUCUGYGGGACUUUUGCCCCGCAGGCUUCGGGAGGUCCCUUGUACAAAUCAUUGCUCUUAUACGCCGUCUGUCGUGUUGCCGGUGGCGACACGYAGAUCGUGUUCUUUCGCGUUGUCGUUGACAGCAAGAUAGCGAACAUUAGUGUCCGGAGCGUGGUCUUGUGCAUGUGGAUUGCCUCUUCGAUCGUAUGAGCAGCGAUUUUCGGUUUGCGUCAAGCGAAGGCCCGCCCGUUCGGGUCGGUGCUGGAGCUGACGUGCCGGCUCUCGUUUAAGACGUGC
rnacentral:misc_RNA from 1 species